rnacentral:lncRNA from 1 species
GGCAGCUUGCAUAGCACCUUCUGGUGCCAGAAGCUGUGGCUCAUGAGGGAGCUUUCAUGUCAGAUCUAGCUUGGAUCCUGUGAGUCCUCUGCCUGAGUUCAUGAUGUCCUCAGCAGUAGGGACUUUACCUUCACCUACUGCAGGGUAACCAAGGGCCUACAGUGAUAAGAUAAUGGUCAUUACACUCUUCAGAGAUCGGCUAAAUAUGGCACUUGAAGUGUUAAAUAGAAAAGGCUUUCUGUGAAAGACAGGGAUGCCAGCUCCUAGACCACCCUCAGUGCAAGAAGACAACAGAUGAUGGAGUACAGAUGAUUCUACUGGGACUGUGGUAACGCUAACCACUGGACAAGACUGUCCCAUGCCUCACCCACUGACAGGACCCUGCCCAAGCAGUGGACAAGCAGGACACUGGAGAGUUGAUUGACCUACUUUGCCUAAACAAGACCUACAGGGACAAAAAUGGAGAAGAGCCUGAAGAAAGGAGAUCCAGUGGCAGGUUCAAAUUGGGAUCCAUCUCAAGAGGAGGCUCCAAGACUUGACACUGUUACUGAGGCUGUGGUGUGCUUACAGACAGGAGCCUAACAUGGCGGCCUCCUAAGAGUCCCAGCAAGCAGCUGACUGAGACAGAUGCAGAUACUUACACCCAACCAAUGGACAGAAGCUGGGAUCCCCUGUUGUUGAAUUGGGGAAAGCUGGAAGAAGUCAAGGAAGAGGGUGAACCCAUAGGAAGACCAGCAGUCUCAACUAACCCAGACCCCUAAGGUUUCUCAGAUACUGAGCCACCAAUGAGGCAGCAUACACCAGCUGAUAUGAGGCCCCCACCAUAUAGACAGCAGAAAACUGCCUGGUCCUCUCAGUGAGAGAAGAUACACCUAACCCUGGAGAGACUUGAGGCCUUAGGGAAUGGGGAGGUCUGGUGUAGUGAGGAAUGGGAGUGGGGGUGUGAGUGGGGACAUCCUCUUGGAAAUGGGGCAGGAGAUAGGGUCAGGAGAAAUGUGAUGAGCUACUAUCAGAGGGUGGUCUGGGAGGGGGAAUAAAGACUGGACUAUUAAAAAAAGAUUAAAAAGUAAUAAUAGU